UACGAAGGGGGCGAGCGUUGUUCGGAUUUACUGGGCGUAAAGGGCGCGCAGGCGGCUUUGUUUGUCAGGCGUGAAAGCCCCGGGCUUAACCUGGGAACUGCGUUUGAUACGGCAGGGCUAGAGUUCGGGAGAGGAGAGUGGAAUUCCCAGUGUAGAGGUGAAAUUCGUAGAUAUUGGGAAGAACACCGGUGGCGAAGGCGGCUCUCUGGACCGAUACGUGACGCUGAGGCGCGAAAGCGUGGGGAGCAAACAG
rnacentral:rRNA from 1 species